GUUCAUCAACUGCAAGAGUUUCAGUGUCGCACACUCAGAACGAAACCCUAACCCUAAUUUCCUUCAGUCUCUGAGAAUGUCUCACUUCGGAAGGUCAGGGCCUCCAGAUAUUUCGGAUACCUACUCUCUUCUUGUCCUCAACAUCACCUUUCGUACGACGGCGGACGAUCUCUUCCCACUUUUUGAUAAGUACGGCAAGGUUGUGGACAUCUUCAUCCCCCGCGACAGAAGAACUGGCGAGUCACGAGGAUUUGCAUUUGUUCGUUACAAGUAUGCGGAUGAAGCACAGAAGGCUGUGGAGAGGCUUGAUGGUAGAACUGUUGAUGGAAGAGAAAUUACAGUCCAGUUUGCGAAAUAUGGACCGAAUGCAGAGAGAAUUCACAAAGGGAGGAUAAUUGAAUCUUUUCCGAAAAGUAGAGGCAGGUCAAGAAGCCGCAGUCCUCGGAAAAGUUUCAGACACCGAGAUGACUACAAGGACAGGGAUUAUUACAGGAAGAGAAGUCGUAGUAGAAGUUAUGAUAGGUAUGAUCGUGACAGGUACCGUGGGAGGGAAAGAGACUAUCGCCAUCGAAGUAGGAGCCGCAGUGUUAGUCCUGAAUAUUACAGAGGGCGUGGAAGGGGCCGGCUUGAUGAUGAGCGUAGGAGUCGUCGAAGUCCAUCAUUUGAAAGUGCCUCCCCUGCUCGGCGUAGUCACAGUCCCAGGAGGAGUCUGUCUCCUCGCCGAACACCAUCUCCGUCCAGGGGUGAAAGUCCUGACAUACGUGGGCGCAACGAUCGAUCUCCAACGCCAACCCGAAGUGUUUCCCCGCGAGGCGACCCUGCUGAUUCUCGGAGUCCAUCCCCACGCAAUUCAGAUGUUGAUGAGUGAUUGCGGCAGGGGAAUGAUAUUUGUUGGAGGCCUCUAGAACAGGAUAUCUCUGUGGGUUGUGGUUCUAUUAUGGAGCGGCUUUGUUCAUUAUGCAUGUUCUAGUCAGAGUUUUAAAUGUUAGCUUUGUUAUGUUCGGGGAAAAGAGUGAAUGGUGCUGAUGGCUGGAUGAUGAUGAUGAUGUUUUAGCUGAUGCUGUUUGUAGAUCGUAGAUGGAUGAUCAUAAUCUGGCCGGAUGAUGAUAAUGUUGUGGCCUUUCAUGCUUGUUUAUUUCGUAGAUGGAUGAUCAUAAUCUUGAUGCUGCUUGUGAACAGCUGUAUGCUGGUUUCAGGGAACAAUGAAUUAACUAAUUUUCACUGAAUGAUUUUGUUAUUGUAUUGGCCUUGAGAGGGGUCGUAGUUGCCGUGUUGGUGUAAAAGGUGGACAGACAUUGAACGUGUUUUUACCUUAGCUGAUGCUGCUAUGAGGUGGAUCCUGUUAUUCAGUUACACCGACUCUGAUAGUAAGUGUGAAGCAGAGUGCUGGUCUGAAUUUUGCAACCAGGUUCAAGGGUAAUAAGUUUUUGGUUGCUUAUUUUGUUUGGGGUAAUUCAUUGGACUUCCACCUAUCUAAUAUCUCAGACCUUUUAGGUUGUUCGACUUAUAUUGAAUCAUGUAGUGAGAUGUUAUGGCAUUUUGGUUCGUGAGCAUUGCUGUGAAGUGGUAUAUUGAAACAUGUAGUCCGGUGUUAUGGCACACUGGUUCGUGACUGUAGCUGUGACGUGGCAGCUGUUGUCUGUUUUGUAACUUCUGUUGUAUGAUUCACGUGGUUCGAUGGUACUGCUUUGAAGUUUUAGUGAAAUCCACUUGUGGUGCCUUGGUCGUUUGCUCAUUUUGCUCUAGACCAGGUUCGAUAUUGUACAGUUUUAGUGCUGAUGAUAGCUGUCUAUUUGGCUUUGUUGCAAGGUUGAUUCUUUUGUUCACUUGUGUACAUGCAUAUGUAGUGCUGGUUUCUUAGGACCUUUCUCAUAGUCAUGCAUGCAUUUCACUUUUAAGGCAGUAGAGACUAUGCUUUCAACCUACAUCUAAAGACUCUAAUAGGGUUUUUAUUUUCUAUAUUUAAAUUAUAUAUUUUAAAUUUGGUCUGUCUAUUGAAUCUAGUGUAAAUAUGACUGGUGAUAUUGUUAAACUCAGUGCAAUGAAAAGGAAAAUGAAGGCCUUUUGUACCUGUA